ensembl:lncRNA
AUCAUAAACGGCAAGGAGUGAGAAACUGUCCCUCACAGGCAGUAGUAGAAGGAUGCUGGCUUCCAUUCCUCCCUCACCUGUGCUACAUUACCGGUUCCCCCCGGCCCUACGCACCCCUGCAGUCAGACUUCAUCCAGCAGUCCUAAAUCACAGAGUCCCUCUGAGAGGAGAGCAGCACAGGAGGCAAACAGCACAGCGGCUGCUGUGAGCUCUGGAUCUGUUUCCAAUAAGGGAUGGAGGCAUCACCGGUGAAACCUCUCUGAGUCGUGAUUGCCUUGUGCAGACCAGGAACGUGUGCACGCUGUGCAGAAGCGAGGACUUCCGCCUCUUCUUCUUCUUCCUCCUCUGGCUAAUAGCUCCUUAGAGAGAUAGAUAGAUAUUAACCGCGUGUUCAGACUUAUCGUGGCCGCUAUAAAAGAAGGUUGAGAUGCCGACAUGUUUUAGGAAACGGACGACCAGUCAUGUUUUGAUCAGACAAACCUCCUGUUGGGGAUUAUUGAUCUGGGUCUCUCAGGCUCCGGACGGUAAAUCCAUCCAUCUUGAGAUCCAUUCUCAUUGGCUUACCCCUGAAGAUACGUGGCUUCUGUCAUGUGAUCGCUCCGACCUCCAGCCAGCGUCAGGGGAGG